rnacentral:rRNA from 1 species
GUAGGUGGCGAGCGUUGUCCGGAAUUACUGGGUGUAAAGGGAGCGUAGGCGGGAGAGCAAGUCGACUGUGAAAUCUAUGGGCUUAACCCAUAGCUGCGAUCGAAACUGUUCAUCUUGAGUGAAGUAGAGGCAGGCGGAAUUCCUAGUGUAGCGGUGAAAUGCGUAAAUAUUAGGAGGAACACCAGUGGCGAAGGCGGCCUGCUGGGCUUAAACUGACGCUGAGGCUCGAAAGCGUGGGUAGCAAA